UUAACUCACAUUCGUAUGGAAUGGGAUCGUUUGCGUACGUUUGCCGCUAGGGGCGCUGUUCCAAUUACAUACAAAAUUGGCUUA
rnacentral:pre_miRNA from 1 species